AGAGGCCGAGCGCCAGGCCGGCCGGCCCGGGGCCCCGCCCCGCCCCCCGCCGCCCGCCCGAUGGGGAACGCUCCGUCCCAAGGCAUGUCCCUGUCCUCUCCCUCCCUAAUGUGCCUCCAUGCUUAGUGGAAGAUGAUGUCAUGUGUGAACGUCGCCCAGCCAGAGGCAGCCAGAGGACAGGGACUGGUGACAUCCGGGGAAAGGACGCCAGGUGGGGACGGGCCUGCCGGUUUAGCAGACGGUGGCGCCGAGCUGGAGGAUCUUCCUUCUCCUGAAGAGUGACAGUGAUCGCAUGUAAAAGAAUGCAGUGCGGGAUAAAAAUAAAUCGGGGCCAUAAAUAAAGGUGGAAUUUAGAAUUGCUGGAGCAAGUAACGGUGUCUCUCCUCACAGGCGGGCACCUGCGCCUCUACUCGUGGCCAGCCACUGGGGGGCGCCCGCCGCCUCCUCAUCCGCAGGUCUGAACGGAGGGCGACACAGGCCCCUGCCCAGGCCCAGCCUCUGCUUCCCUUCCUGCUGAGGCUCCCUGUCACGCGUGCUGGCAUCUUCCUGCACCUCGUCCUGGGCAGGCGUGACCUCAGGCGCCCAACAGGCUGGGGGAGUGAAGUCAUUUCCAGAACAGCACCCCCAUUAGAAGCCCAGGCUGCUCCUCCCAGUCCCUGUGGGCCCCACAGAAAAAAAGUUGAAUCCAUGCAACAGGUGUGGAACCCCGGAUCACCUGCAUGGCGCCAUCCUUCUCUCUGAACCUCGGGGUCCUUCCUUGUUAAAUAAAGCCAAGAUCUGGAAGAUUGUUUUUAAAUUUUUAAAAUUUUUAUUUGCUUGUUUUUUUAAAGCGGGCCUCGAUAUGUAGUCCAGGCUGCCCUUGAGCUCACUAUGGACCCCAGGCUGGCCUCAGACUCUCGACAAUCCUCCUGCUUCAGCCUCCUCAGUGCUGGGAUGACAGGCGUGUGCCACCACACCAAGCUAGAAGGUUCUUAAAGGGGUUCCUAGGCUUUUCCAUUCCAAGCCCCCCUUGGCAUGGCCCCUCCUCAGAUGAGCAGAUAUCUCUCUACCCCUUCCCUCUCUGCCACCCCAGUGCCAGCUCCUGGCCAGGAGUGCUGCCUGCUGUCUAUCUGCUCCCCACAGCCCCUCAACCCUCCC
rnacentral:lncRNA from 1 species